rnacentral:rRNA from 1 species
AACGAACGCUGGCGGCAUGCCUAACACAUGCAAGUCGAACGAGACCUUCGGGUCUAGUGGCGCACGGGUGCGUAACGCGUGGGAACCUGCCCUUAGGUUCGGAAUAACUCCCCGAAAGGGGUGCUAAUACCGGAUAAUGUCUUCGGACCAAAGAUUUAUCGCCUUUGGAUGGGCCCGCGUUGGAUUAGCUAGUUGGUAGGGUAAAAGCCUACCAAGGCGACGAGCCAUAGCUGGUCUGAGAGGAUGAUCAGCCACACUGGGACUGAGACACGGCCCAGACUCCUACGGGAGGCAGCAGUGGGGAAUAUUGGACAAUGGGCGAAAGCCUGAUCCAGCAAGGCCGCGUGAGUGAUGAAGGCCUUAGGGUUGUAAAGCUCUUUUACCCGGGAGGAUAAUGACAGUACCGGGAGAAUAAGCGCCGGCUAACUCCGUG